AUUGAACGCUGGCGGCAUGCUUUACACAUGCAAGUCGAACGGUAACAGGCCGCAAGGUGCUGACGAGUGGCGAACGGGUGAGUAAUGCAUCGGAACGUGCCCAGUCGUGGGGGAUAACGCAGCGAAAGCUGCGCUAAUACCGCAUACGAUCGAUGGAUGAAAGCGGGGGACCGUAAGGCCACGCGCGAUUGGAGCGGCCGAUGUCGGAUUAGGUAGUUGGUGGGGUAAAGGCUCACCAAGCCGACGACCUGUAGCUGGUCUGAGAGGACGACCAGCCACACUGGGACUGAGACACGGCCCAGACUCUGACGGGAGGCAGCAGUGGGGAAUUUUGGACAAUGGGCGCAAGCCUGAUCCAGCAAUGCCGCGUGCAGGAAGAAGGCCUUCGGGUUGUAAACUGCUUUUGUACGGAACGAAACGGUCCUGGUUAAUACCUGGGGCUAAUGACGGUACCGUAAGAAUAAGCACCGGCUAACUACGUGCCAGCCGCCGCCGUAACAC
rnacentral:rRNA from 1 species